rnacentral:rRNA from 1 species
AGAGUUUGAUCCUGGCUCAGAUUGAACGCUGGCGGCAUGCCUUACACAUGCAAGUCGAACGGCAGCAUGAUCUAGCUUGCUAGAUUGAUGGCGAGUGGCGAACGGGUGAGUAAUACAUCGGAACGUGCCCUGUAGUGGGGGAUAACUAGUCGAAAGAUUAGCUAAUACCGCAUACGACCUGAGGGUGAAAGUGGGGGACCGCAAGGCCUCAUGCUAUAGGAGCGGCCGAUGUCUGAUUAGCUAGUUGGUGGGGUAAAGGCCCACCAAGGCGACGAUCAGUAGCUGGUCUGAGAGGACGAUCAGCCACACUGGGACUGAGACACGGCCCAGACUCCUACGGGAGGCAGCAGUGGGGAAUUUUGGACAAUGGGGGCAACCCUGAUCCAGCAAUGCCGCGUGUGUGAAGAAGGCCUUCGGGUUGUAAAGCACUUUUGUCCGGAAAGAAAUCGCACUUACUAAUAUUAGGUGUGGAUGACGGUACCGGAAGAAUAAGGACCGGCUAACUACGUGCCAGCAGCCGCGGUAAUACGUAGGGUCCAAGCGUUAAUCGGAAUUACUGGGCGUAAAGCGUGCGCAGGCGGUUGUGCAAGACCGAUGUGAAAUCCCCGGGCUUAACCUGGGAAUUGCAUUGGUGACUGCACGGCUAGAGUGUGUCAGAGGGGGGUAGAAUUCCACGUGUAGCAGUGAAAUGCGUAGAGAUGUGGAGGAAUACCGAUGGCGAAGGCAGCCCCCUGGGAUAACACUGACGCUCAUGCACGAAAGCGUGGGGAGCAAACAGGAUUAGAUACCCUGGUAGUCC